rnacentral:rRNA from 1 species
AUGAAGUAUGCCUCAAGAUUUGUGAACGAGUACCUUCUGAUGUCUGAAAUCACGGGGCCGUUUGGUUGCUGCCGGUGGUGGCGCUACCCCCAUCGGCACGCUAAAGAAUUAGCGGACAAUUCAGCCGCCACGGUUUCGUCAAUAUUUUGGCUACAGAAUCAACAUGGAGAGCAGAUGGGGCGUGGGCGAGCCAAAUAUUUGGAGCUGAUCCAAAUGUGCGCCAACACGUUGGUCAACGCCAAAAAUUUGGCUGGGCAACCCUUGGUUCUGAUCCAAACAGCCCCUACAUGCCUCAAAGCCAUGGACAAAUUUUCUACUGCGGUGGUGUUUGUAUCAGAGUACUUGAGAGAACCAAAUACAGAAUACACAACAUAG